AUUUUAUUUCAGAAAGUAUUCAAAUUAUAACCAAAUUAACUUUGAAACGUGCGUGAUUUCCAUCGGUGGGCGGUUUAAAUCGAUUCAAAUCGUUUCCUCGAUGUUUCCUGCAACCGUUAAAAUAUAACGCAUUAUCGUAGUAACAUGUCACCUCUAUGCUAUCGCCGCGGACGUCUACAUUGCAUUGGGUUCCAUAUAGCUGGAACAUAUUAUACGUUUUACGUUGCAGUGAUUCGUAAUGAGAACAAAGGACGUACGAGUCGUAAGACAAGUCAAUGUGUUACAAAUGCCUUGGCUUCCAAUUCAACGUUCGUCUCUCGCGGAAAAUGUUGACGAAUGAAUAUCGUUCGGUUUUGCAUUAUUUCCGUAAUAAUAUUAUAAUAUUGUCACGCGGUGUUUAAACGUUAAAAUACCGUUUGUCGUUAUCCGCAGCGGUUUGUGUGUAAAGGUCGCGCGCGCAUUGGGAAACCGUGUUAUUUAUGGCGUUUAACAAAGAUAUUUGAGAAAUCGUUAAGUACCCCGGAUAAUUACACCGGUGUCGAAAUAUUAUAAUAAAUCGACGACGGCGUUGCGAAAUAAUAUUACGUUCCAAUAAUAUUAGAUAUAUUUCACACUAUACACACGAGUAUAAUGACCCGUGCGGCCGUAAAAACAGUAUAUUGAGCAAUUGGAAAUCGUUCGAUCGUUCGGGCGCGCACGAAUUUUCAGGCGAACGGUCCGCGACAACGAAAACGCGGUGAGAUCCAUUGAAACACGAGUUUUUUGUUUUUUAUCAUAAAAAACCGGACGCACUUCGUACCGCGAUUAGCCCACUGUCGUAGGCAUGGGAAGUUGAAAAGGUAAAUAUCGGGUAUAAUAUAUUGUGAUUAUAUAUAUGGUGAUUGCAGAGUUCGCAUUCUGAAAUCAACGAUAAAUCAUUGCGACGACGGUAUUAGGUUGUAGUAUAACAAUUAGUAGUGUUUUUUUGCCUCUGUUGUAAUCAAAAUAACGCAGGAAUCGAUAGAAAUAAAACCGAUGUAU